AAGGAAUAUUGGUCAAUGGACGCAAGUCUGAACCAGCCAUGCCGCGUGAAGGAUGAAGGUCCUCUGGAUUGUAAACUUCUUUUAUCUGGGACGAAAACGGGAUUUUUAUCUCAAUUGACGGUACCAGAGGAAUAAGCACCGGCUAACUCCGUGCCAGCAGCCGCGGUAAUACGGAGGGUGCGAGCGUUAUCCGGAUUUACUGGGUUUAAAGGGUGCGUAGGUGGGCUUAUAAGUCAGUGGUGAAAUCUCCGAGCUUAACUUGGAAACUGCCGUUGAUACUAUAGGUCUUGAAUUAUCUGGAGNUAAGCGGAAUAUGUCAUGUAGCGGUGAAAUGCUUAGAUAUGACAUAGAACACCAAUUGCGAAGGCAGCUUACUACAUAUAAAUUGACGCUGAGGCACGAAAGCGUGGGGAUCAAACA
rnacentral:rRNA from 1 species